GGCAGCCUCGGCUUCCCUCUGCAGCUCCGUGAAGCUUUGGAGCAACGGGAAGCCUGUGCGCCCAUGCCCCACGCUCCAGGGCUGCUGAAUGGGGUUGGGGGGUGCUGCUCUGCCAGCAGCCUGCCCUUCCCCUCAAGGUUUGGAGCAGUGGGCAGGCUGUGCGCCCAUGCCCCACACUCCUGGGCUGCUGAAUGGGGGUGGGGGGGUGCUCUGCCAACAGCCUGCCCUUCCCCUCAAGGUUUGGAGCAGUGGGCAGGCUGUGCGCCCAUGCCCCACACUCCUGGGCUGCUGAAUGGGGGUGGGGGUGCUGCUCUGCCAGCAGCCUGCCCUUCCCCUCAAGGUUUGGAGCAGUGGGCAGGCUGUGCGCCCAUGCCCCACACUCCUGGGCUGCUGAAUGGGGGUGGGGGGGUGCUCUGCCAGCAGCCUGCCCUUCCCCUCAAGGUUUGGAGCAGUGGGCAGGCUGUGCGCCCAUGCCCCACACUCCUGGGCUGCUGAAUGGGGGUGGGGGGUGCUGCUCUGCCAACAGCCUGCCCUUCCCCUCAAGGUUUGGAGCAGUGGGCAGGCUGUUCACUGAGAGAGGGGAGGAAGAGGACGGAGAGGAGGGGGACCAAGAAGCUGGGUGAAGGGAGAUGAGGUACCAUAGGUUGCCGUGAGUGGAGAGUCAUGGUAGAGGGCAAAGGAGAGGGAGCAGUGAAGGGGAGAAAUUGUAGACAUCACCUGAGGAGUUUGGGUGAAAGGAAUGGAGAGGAGGAGGCUGGAAAAGGGGACUGUUCUGCUUGGGGG